UAGAAGAAAGUUGGUUACCGUGGCAACCUGAAGGGAUUCCCCGGUCUCCGGCAUCUAGUCUGCAGUGAGAGAGAUCGUAAAAAUGACAGGGUGCACUGAAGCAUGCAGAACAGUGAAAGUGAGAAGAUACACAGUGGCAAGCACAACGGCAAGCUGAGGAAGGAAGCCCGCCAGCCACAUCACCAGCACAAUCUCCAUCCAACCCUCAAGUCCCUGAACCCCAACAAAAUAUCUCCCCUUCCUCAUCCAAAACCUCUCCAACCCCCACACCCUCUCUUUCCCAAACACCAUCUCUGCCCCCAACCCCCUCUCUGACACAAACCCCCUCUCUGAACCCCUCUCCUUCUGUGGCACAAAGCCCCUCUCCACCUCCUUCCCCCUCUCUGACACACACACCCUCUUCGCCCCCCUCCCCUUCUGUGGCACAAAGCCCUUCUCCACCACCCUCCCCCUCUCUGACACACACCCCCUCUUUUCCCCCUCCCCUUCUGUGGCCCAAACACCCUCUCCACCACCUCCCCUUAUUUGACACAAACCACCUCUCCGGACUCCUCCUCCUCUGUGUCCCAACCCACCUCUCCGGCCUCCUCCCCCUCUGUGGCCCAAUCCACCUCUUUGGCCUCCUCCCCCUCUCAAUCAAACCCACCCUCUGGAACCAGCUCACACUUCCAUCCUCCUUUCCCAAUACAGACUCCUUCCCCCAUCCAGACUCCUUCCCCCAUCCAGACUCCUUCCCCCAUCCAGACUCCUUCCCCACCCACUGAAUGGGCAGCAGAGGCCCCGGAGGAAAUUCAGGGAGGUGCACAUGUGGCUGAGGAGAAUGUUGCAGUUGGAGAUCCCACCAGUUUGCCAGGGAUUGUGGCCAGCCUUAAAGGAAACUUGAGGGGCAUAAUUGCGGACCUAGACAAAUUAGAAAAAAAAAUCUAAUUUUAAAAAUGUAAAUUUUUGUUUAUAGCUUUUUUCAGUAAAAAAAAAGUUGAAAAAUUUGAAUAAAACAAAAAAUUGUUGUUGAAGUUAA